GUGCUUGCUUCAGCAGCACAUAUACUAAAAUUAGAAUGAUACAGAGAUUAGCAUGACCCCUCCACAAGGAUGACAUGCAAAUUUGUGAAGCAUUCCAUAUUUUA
ensembl:snRNA U6 U6 spliceosomal RNA